GACGAACGCUGGCGGCGUGCCUAAUACAUGCAAGUAGAACGCUGAAGGAGGAGCUUGCUUCUCUGGAUGAGUUGCGAACGGGUGAGUAACGCGUAGGUAACCUGCCUGGUAGCGGGGGAUAACUAUUGGAAACGAUAGCUAAUACCGCAUAAGAGUAGAUGUUGCAUGACAUUUACUUAAAAGGUGCAAUUGCAUCACUACCAGAUGGACCUGCGUUGUAUUAGCUAGUUGGUGGGGUAACGGCUCACCAAGGCGACGAUACAUAGCCGACCUGAGAGGGUGAUCGGCCACACUGGGACUGAGACACGGCCCAGACUCCUACGGGAGGCAGCAGUAGGGAAUCUUCGGCAAUGGACGGAAGUCUGACCGAGCAACGCCGCGUGAGUGAAGAAGGUUUUCGGAUCGUAAAGCUCUGUUGUAAGAGAAGAACGAGUGUGAGAGUGGAAAGUUCACACUGUGACGGUAUCUUACCAGAAAGGGACGGCUAACUACGUGCCAGCAGCCGCGGUAAUACGUAGGUCCCGAGCGUUGUCCGGAUUUAUUGGGCGUAAAGCGAGCGCAGGCGGUUAGAUAAGUCUGAAGUUAAAGGCUGUGGCUUAACCAUAGUACGCUUUGGAAACUGUUUAACUUGAGUGCAAUAGGGGAGAGUGGAAUUCCAUGUGUAGCGGUGAAAUGCGUAAUAUAUGGAGGAACACCGGUGGGCGAAAGCGGCUCUCUGGCUUGUAACUGACGCUGAGGCUCGAAAGCGUGGGGAGCAAACAGG
rnacentral:rRNA from 1 species